CAGUCGCCGCGGGAAUACGAAGGGUGCAAGCGUUACUCGGAAUUACUGGGCGUAAAGCGUGCGUAGGUGGUGGUUUAAGUCCGUUGUGAAAGCCCUGGGCUCAACCUGGGAAUUGCAGUGGAUACUGGGUCACUAGAGUGUGGUAGAGGAUAGUGGAAUUUCCGGUGUAGCAGUGAAAUGCGUAGAGAUCGGAAGGAACAUCUGUGGCGAAGGCGACUAUCUGGGCCAUUACUGACACUGAGGCACGAAAGCGUGGGGAGCAAACAGGAUUAGAUACCCGAGUAGUCCCUGUCUCUUAUAC
rnacentral:rRNA from 1 species